CUGUGAGGUAACUAGCCAUAAUUAUUGUAAACUCAUAAUUGCAGGAUAGAACUGAGCACACAUGAGACAGAGAAGCCAGGCUAGCCCUGGAUCCUCCAUCCACCUCCACUGAGCCACUGGGCAUGAGCAUGAAGCCAUUUUAAAUCACUGAGGCUUGUCACGACAUCAGGAAGAGCUGAGCCUCUCUCAGCAACUAGAACUGACUGACCACUAGGUGAAGAGUGAAUGACUGCUCAGGUUUUGGGAAGGGGAUACCAAAAGCACAGUGGUGAAAAAAUAGCUCCAUUACUUCUGAUUUGAAAGCUCAGUGUUAUUAACAUGUUGAUCUCUGAGGACUUCCAGGGCUGUCGCCAAUAAGCCACACAACCUGGUCCCACCAUCUUCCAAAGAUGCUGUCCCUCUUAAAGGUGGCCCUCAUUGGGAUUUGACCUCAAGAUAUUGGGCUCCAUCUUGUGUCCCAUGCUCUACUGUAAUAGUAUCAUGCUUGACAUUUUUAGGAGGAAAACUUAAUUGUAGAUGACUCUAAAGUUUUUAAAAGGCUAUUUUAUGUUGCUAUUUGUAAAAAAAAUUAAAUGAAGUGAUUUUCAGGUUGC